AUGGCUCUUCUACUAGUUGAAAAUGAUGUCCCGAGUUGGCAAGGUGAAAGCCUUCCUCCUUUGAAGACAGCCCAGACGUGGAACGCCAGUCUAGCUGAAGUCAUCGUCCAUAAUAUGUAACUCCAGGUUGGAAAUCUAAAUGCAUAGAAUGAAAAUUUACAGAUUAUAUUUAGAAGUAACACGUCUUAGAGGCGAACGUACUUUUCUUCUGAUAUGCAAGGAGGCUGAGUUCUUCUCAAAGGGUCCCAUGCACAGCCUUCUUUGCAUUUGAAAGAAAAAAAUCAUGAACCAUGGAUGUCAAUAAGCCUAGGGUGGCAAAAGGAAAAGCCAUUGAAGUCGAGUACCAUAAAGAAAUGGUGCCCGUUUGUGUAACUUGUGAUUACACAAGGUGCUACUCAUCAUCCAAGAUGAAAGGAAGAAGUUUAUUACAUUGAGUAGAUGGAUUCAAGACAACUUCAACAAUUGGAGCUACCAGUUACUUCCAAGGGGAGACAAAAAGGUGCAUUUUAUCACCACUAUCACGGCCUCAUUCUUUUAUCUGACAAGAAAAACUGAUCCACUGGGCCCACAAGCUCUAAGGUUGUGUUUGGAAAGCCCUUCUGUGAAGGAAUAAAAUGUACCUGUUUACAAUUGAUACAUGGCAGACCACCAAACCUAAACACUGCAGUAUCAUCACUUCUUAAAAUGAAAAUAGGUCUCUGGGAAAGAGAGUAGCUGAUUAGUUAUUUAAAUGAAAUAUACUGUCAAGAAUAGUAAUUUAAAUAAAAAUAAAAGGAUUGCCGUAAAUUAAUAGCUCAUUUCCCACUCCUCUGACCCCACCAAUAGUUCUAAAUGAACAACACUGGAAAUGUGACCUACAUUGCUGAGGAAGUUCUCAGAAUACAAUGUCAACAUGAUUUUUACAGGAAACUGAUCUACUCCAGAUAGAUGGGGCAGUCACAAAAUUGAGCUCUCUGUGGAUGUUGAGUCAGUACUUACUACUGUGUCAAGCUCACACUGAGAAUAUUUAGAAAGUGGAAUGAUUGGCCUUGGCAUCCUCUGGCCCUAUUUACAAAAAUAAGGUGCUGGUGUGUUUUACUACUCAUACUGGGACAUUCUCCCACUAACUAGCUUUUCCUAGGAAAGCCAAAACUAAGGUGCAACCAGAGACCAAGGUGCUGAGCGUCAUCUGACACAUACAAGCUACAGAAUACCAAGAAGUCUUUGCUAAUAGGCAUCAUUAUUAAUAAUCAUCUCUUUAAGAUACAUUAACAUAAUUUUUUAAAGCCAUGCAAGAUUAUAUACACACAUGUGCAAAAACAGAGUAGGGUUUGCCUCUAACAGCUGUUCUCUAGUCAAACAUUUCUCAAAGAUAGAUGGUUACCAGUUUCUUGUGUAUCCCUUAAGAGAUGAUCUGUGCAGUGUUUUGUCACUUUUAAAUUUAGUAAUUCCACUGUUCUUGGGAUUUUGACAAAUUUUCCACCUGCUAUCAAAGGAUGAAGCCAGUGUGUUCAUAAAUUGAGAGCAAGAGGAAAUGGACACAAUAGGCAAAUGAGAUCCUAGGUCACAAGAAACAAAGGAUACUGAGGAAAAAAGGUAUGAAAGGAAAGCCCCAUGAUCCCUGCUCUAGGAGGAAGAGAACCAUCUACUAAUACAUUCCGUUCUGGGUUAGAGUGUGUACUGCACCCUGGAGGACGUUGCUUCAGCCGCACGGAGUAUGUAAUAUGCCUCUUAGCUGGUGCCACAAAUGAAUCUUCAAACAGCCAUUCCACCGUGAGACUUCCUUUGGGAGAAGUGGUGCUAUGUGGAUUACCAUGACAGUACAUGAGCCUUUCUGUAAAUCCAUAGAUGGUGGUUUUGGCAUAAGCUUUAUGUGCAGGGAAAGAAAACAUAUGGAGAAAGGGUCUGUUUCAGCGAGAACAAAGUGCUGCUGCUCCCAUGAAGGAACUGGUUCACCACAACAGGAGUCCCCAGGGUAAGAGGCUUGGGAAUCAUGGAAAAAGUUAAUCAGAGAACAGCUGCAGCGUUCUUUCACCUGUGCCUUGGGCACUGAGUGUCUCAUCCUGGAGCACAGUGGCUCAGAUACCAUCUUGAUUGUUUGCAGUCCUCCUGAGGCACAAAGGUGGAACUGCUUAUGGUCUCCUGGAGUCCGAGUGAGUCAUACCUUCAGAUCCUAAAACAAGAGCUUUUUACACACCUUGAUUACUAAGCUUAUGAGCUAUUAUCUGAAACUAAAGUUUUUCUAACAUUUGAGUCUCCCAUUAUUUCAGGAAACCAUGUGCCGUGUUAACACUGUCCCAGGGGGUUGAGCCCAGGGAGGCACAGGUCCCUGCAUGGGACCCUGCCUCCAGGAGUGGGCUCCCAUCCUCCGUCAGGCCUAAGCCUCUAGUGGGCCCUGCACCUCCUGGUCCAUUUGGGGAGCAGAGCAGAAGCCCAGAACAUCCAAAUGCCAGAAACACACAGGGAAGAGAGCUUGUACCAAGUUCUAAAGUCCUGCACCAAGAGGCCCCAUACUAAGAAAGUGACUGCUCCAUAUGUCCUUCAGAGGCAAAAGUCUGCAACUCAGCAUUCCCAGGCCCAGUCCAGCUCUAAACACCUCUCCCAAGUCUGGGUAGCCUGGCCUGGCCGGUCCCCUGGCUUCAUCCACUCUGUUGCUGUCUUCCCCAGGCAGACCCCCUCCGCCCCUCCUCGUGGCUCCCUCUCUGUGUAACUUGGGUCAGACCCCCUCACAAGUAGACCCACAGACAGAGGUACAGGCAGACCUUCUGACCUCUCCGGGCCUUGGCCUUGUGUCUUCCCUACUGACCUUUGGCCUGCCCUAAUUUAAAUGCUUGGCUCAGAACUUCCUAUGUGACCUCAUAUCCUGCUCUUCCUAUGGUGCGUUAGUGUCUGCAAUUUUUGUCAACUCCCCAAUGUGUUUGACUGUCUUUGGGCUGCUGUCUUUAGUCAGGGCAAGAGUUCCCAGUGACACCCAGGCAUCAGGGAAGGCUUCCACCCACCCCGGCUAUGUUAUAAGUCACUGCAGGUUUUCACAGUCACGUAGACAAUUAGCCCAGGGCAGCAGCUGUCUUCUCUUCAGAAACACAGGGCCUUUGCCUUUGUUCUGCAGUGUGUCAUCAAUGCUGUACUGCCCUGCUCUUUGGGAACCCUGCCCCCAGCCCCCAAUCCUGCCUGAAGACAGGACUGUGGGAGUUCCCGUGUAUCAGGGGACCCAUGCUCUGCACCCCAUUACACUGUGCGGCAAGAUCUUUGGACAAAGGACACAGUAACUGGCAGAUAAAUCUUCCUGGUUCCCCUGUGGACUUUCCUGAAACACAUUUGUUUGUCCAGCCUCCCAGAAGAUGGUCCCACAGGAAUAAGCAAUCAGACAUUUUUUCAUGAUCAGUCAUUUAAAAUUUUUUUAAUUUAUUGAUUUCCUAGAGAGAAGGGGGAAGGGGGGAAGAGAGAGAAAGAGAAACAUCAAUCUGUUGUCCCACUUAUUUCUGCAUCCAUUGGUUGAUUGCUGUGUGUACCCUGACCGGGGAUGGAACCUGCGACCUUGGCAUAUCACCAACUGCUCUAACCUGGCUCUAACCUUGUUCUGACCAACUGAGCUACCUGACCAGGGUACAAUUAUUCAUUCUUGAUAACACUGGUAGCCAUUUGGUGAGGCACGCUCAAAUUCCACCUCCCAGUUCCCCUGCCACACUUCCCCGUUGCCUCACUCCUGCUGCCCUAGGAUUGCGUGCUCUCAUGAAUUAGCAGCAUAUAGGCUUUUGCUUCAGGUUCUGCUUCCUCACUUGGACAAAGAGACUUAAGGAACAUUAUACCAGAUGCAAUAUGUGGCCCCGGUUUACACAUACCAGCUUUAAGAACAUUUUGGGAGAUAACUGGAAAAUUUUUUAUGUAGAUUGGAUUUUAGAUGAUACUAAAUUGUGAGUUUUUAGAUGGGAUCCUGUUAUUUUGACAAGAAAUAUUAGAGAUGUAUACUGAAAUACUUAGCAGUAGAAUGAUAUACUGUAGUUCAUUUCUAAAUACCUCAGCAUUGAAAAAGAGCGAGUGAAGAGGAAAAAGAAUUAUAAGAUCUUUUUGUGUGGCUUUGCAAAACUAAGCCAGUGAUGUUAAUCACAGUCCAAUUUUAAUUUUAAAAAAAGGAGGCCCGCCCUGGCAGGUGUGGCUCAGUGGUUGGAGUGUUGUCCCAUAAACUGAAAGGGUCACCGGGUCGAUUUUGGUCAGGACACAUGCCUAGGUUGUGGGUUCAGUCCUGGGUUGGGGUCCAUGUGAGAAGCAACCAAUCAAUGUUUCUCAAAUCAGUGCUUCUCUCUGUCCCUUUCCCUCUCUCUAAAGUUAAUGGGCAUGUUCUUGGGUGGGGAUUAAAAGGAAAAAAACAAGGUGGUCCAAUAACCGAUUUCAAAAAAGUAAGAUAAAUUCAUGCGAAUUUUUACAUAUUUUACAGCUUUUCAAUCAUGGAUUAUAAGUCACAAAUUUAAGAAAAUUUAAAAAAUACAAGAAAGCUUUAUGAUUUUCAUAUAUAUAUACAUACAUAUCUAUAUCUAUAUUUGUUUAAAUAUAACAUCUGGAGCACAGAUAAAGUUAUAUCCAAGGUUACAUCACAAAUUAAUGGGGAGGUAGUAAUCAAGUAAGAAUUAUUUAGACUUUCAUAGAACCACACAAUUCCUUCUUUCCAACAUUAUCAAUAUCAAAACCGCAAACAAAUCCUAGGAAGAG